UACGAAGGGGGCUAGCGUUGUUCGGAAUUACUGGGCGUAAAGCGCGCGCAGGCGGCUAUCCAAGUCAGUGGUGAAAGCCCGGAGCUCAACUCCGGAACUGCCAUUGAAACUGUUUAGCUUGAGGACGAGAGAGGUGAGUGGAAUUCCCAGUGUAGAGGUGAAAUUCGUAGAUAUUGGGAAGAACACCGGUGGCGAAGGCGGCUCACUGGCUCGUUACUGACGCUCAGGCACGACAGCGUGGGGAUCAAACAGG
rnacentral:rRNA from 1 species